ensembl:lncRNA
AAACACUUCUAGUAAGUGUUCUCGGCCUGUAUUUCUCACCAUGGUUAGCUACAGCAAACCAUGCUAGUGGAUAAAUAAGUCUCAAUAAAAAUAGUUUGUAGCUAGUCGGGGUACUUUUACCUUUAUAUAUGAUGUUAUUAUCAAACAUAGCGUGCUCCCUACAAUGUUUACCUAUAGUACGAGUUUACUCACAUUCACUACACUGAGUUUAUGUACAUUCUCAUUCUAGCACCACAUUGGGACAAGCCCACUGUCUUGGAUCGACACGGAACAGCAUGGUUUCCCAACGAGAACUAUACGACCAAAUGUUGAAACAUUUUUGUCUUAUUAGGCAAUAACAAUUAAAAUUCUCUUUUUGGAAGCCAAUAAUUUAAGGUCCGUUCAUUCACAACAAUAACUAUUAGCAUUAACACAAUAACGUUCUGUGUAUUAUAAGCGGCGCUGCAGUUUUGUCUGAUGCUUUAAAAGAUGGAUGCUGACAGAUUGUCACUGUUUUGUAAUGUUGACUGUGCUAUAAUAAAUUUGUAAGAUAUUUAAAACAAUCGUUUUCGUCCAUGGUAAAUAAAAUAAACCUAGCCUGACUGAGAAAUAUUCAGUAAAUAUUCAGUAUGAAAUAUUCAAUAUCACUGUGACAACUUGCCACAGUCUCCACUAUUGAAAGACAUUUCAUUUAUGCAGUUAUCACUGAGAAAUGUUUCAUUAAUAUGACCACACCACAUUCACAUUUCCACUAAUCCAACUUCCUCUCCAGGAUGACAGCAGAGGCACGGUCAUAGGCCGCUCUGAAUAGAUAAUUAAGCCUUGAUCUUAAAAUAUAAAUGUACAGAUGGGGCUUGUGGCAAAAAUGAAAAUUUUUCACCUUUAACCACCAUUAGUUUGACAGUGACGCAGUUCCCUUCAGCGCGAGAAUACAGUGGGCCGAAUUCAGUCAGGUGAGAGGUGACAGAGCCGUAUGGUGGAUCUCCUGCCAGUGACAGGCUGUCAUUUGGAGAUGUGUGCCAUGUGGCUGUCUCUCAGCCUGUCUUUGAGCUGAAGGAUGACCCCUCCUGCUCACUGGGGCUUCACCGGCCAUGCCAUUCCUGUCUCUCAGCUUACACGUCUGACAGGAGACAUGACGUCCGAGACACAUCGACUCCAUCUUUAGCUCUUGAGAACUUCAUGAGAGCUUUCUGACCUGCUGCACAGUCACAGUCACAGUCUGCUAUGACAGCUGCACAUCCUCAGAACGGAAAGCCCUUCAGCGGGUAGUCAAAACCGCCCAGCGCGUCACUGAACUCGGCUACUGGCCAUCGAAGACCUGAACAACCGUCGCUGCCGGCAAAGAGCUCACCAGAUCAUCAGGGAUUCCAUCCACCACAGCUACAGUCUGUUUUCUUCCCUGCCAUCUGGAAGCCACAUAGACACAUACAAACACGGACCACAAGGCUAAAGAACAUUUUCAUCCCUUGAGGUGUUGCAUAAGCUAAACUCUAAUCUCUCUUUCACUGUCAUCUAACUUAGUCUAACAAAUCCUCAAACCAAAUACCAAACCA